rnacentral:rRNA from 1 species
GACGAACGCUGGCGGCGUGCCUAAUACAUGCAAGUAGAACGCUGAAGCGAGGAGCUUACUCUUCUUGAUGAGUUGCGAACGGGUGAGUAACGCGUAGGUAACCUGCCUUGUAGCGGGGGAUAACUAUUGGAAACGAUAGCUAAUACCGCAUAACAAUGGAUGACACAUGUCAUUUAUUUGAAAGGGGCAAUUUCUCCACUACAAGAUGGACCUGCGUUGUAUUGGCUAGUAGGGGAGGUAAUGGCUCACCUAGGCGACGAUACAUAGCCGACCUGAGAGGGUGAACGGCCACACUGGGACUGAGACACGGCCCAGACUCCUACGGGAGGCAGCAGUAGGGAAUCUUCGGCAAUGGGGGCAACACUGACCGAGCAACGCCGCGUGAGGGAAGAAGGAUGUCGGAUCGUAAAGCUCUGUUGUAAGUCAAGAAAGGGUGUGAGAGUGGAAAGUUCACACUGUGACGGUAGCUGACCAGAAAGGGACGGCUAACUACGUG